rnacentral:rRNA from 1 species
UACGUAGGGGCAAGCGUUAUCCGGAUUUACUGGGUGUAAAGGGAGCGCAGACGGCAGUGCAAGUCUGAUGUGAAAGCCCGGGGCUCAACCCCGGAACUGCAUUGGAAACUGUACAGCUUGAGUGUCGGAGAGGUAAGCGGAAUUCCUAGUGUAGCGGUGAAAUGCGUAGAUAUUAGGAGGAACACCGGUGGCGAAGGCGGCUUACUGGACGAUAACUGACGUUGAGGCUCGAAAGCGUGGGGAGCAAACAGGAUUAGAUACCCUGGUAGUCCCU